UGAAGAUACAUUAUCUUCAAAAGUUACGGAUGUUUCAACAGGAAAGUUUGUACAAUAUAUUUUGAUCAAAGUUACAAAAAAAUGGAGAUGUUUUACAUCUACCAAAUAACGAUCUGGAGCAAAGAAAUUCAUGCGAAUGUUUUCCUACAUCGUUCUGCCGUUACGUGUUGUCGCAAUUGAUGUGUGUUAGAGAGAUUGUCAAAAGAAUCUGCUCAGGUCCUGAUAGACAGGUCGAGAGUCCUCCAAGUAGGCUAUCAGCUCAGUGGAAGAUGUUGAUGCACUCCAGUGCUCCGGGGUUGCUUAUUUGGUCAGUACGAUUAGUUCAUGUAUUGGUUGGUACGGUGGGGUCAGUUAUGACCUUUAUGAUAAGUAUGUACUCUUAGAGUCUUGUAGAUAAAUGUCAUGUGUACAGAUAUUUGCAUGGCCUUGUCGGCCUACAUUUAAAGUAUAUAACGCAUCACGUUGGCCUUAUAGGCCCGUAUGUCACAGAUAUAAGCUUCUAUAUCAGGUUGGAUCGUUCUA